rnacentral:lncRNA from 10 species
CCUUUGAAAAUUAUCAAAAUUAAGAGGAAAACUACUAGCCCAGUAUGGGUGGAGCAGUGGCCCAUUAAGAAGGAAAAAUUGGAACAUAUUCAACGUCUAGUACAAGAACAACAUGCUGGCCACAUUGAGCCUCCUGCUAGUCCCUGGAACACUCCUAUUUUUACUAUUCCAAAGAGGUCAGGAAAAUGGGGGUUAUUGCAUGACCUCUGUGCUAUUAAUGCUGUGAUGCUUCCUAUGGGACCUUUGCAACCAAGAUUGCCUUCUCCGGGUAUGAUCCCCAAAGACUGGCUUCUUAUUAUCAUUAAUCUAAGAAAUUGUUUUUUUACCAUACCCUUGCAUCCCGAGGAUCGAGAAAAAUUUACUUUUACCAUUCCCACUUAUAACAAUCAGCAACCAGUUCAACGUUAUCAAUGGAGAGUUCUACCCCAAGAGAUGAUAAAUAGCCCACUACAUGUCAGCUUUACGUACUUGAAGCCUUACUUUCUGUGCGUCCAUCCUUCCCCCAGGCAAAAAUCUUCCACUAUGUGGAUGAUAUUUUGAUAGCUGCUCAAUACCAGUCAUUACUGCAUCAACUUUACACAAUGGUAAUAUAGCGUAUGUCAUAGUAUGGUCUUGUUAUUACACACACAAAAAAGUCCAGCUGACAUCUCUGUGGCUCUAUCUAGGAAGUCUUAUUUUAUCUACUACCCCUAGGCCACAACUUACAAAAACAAUUCUUCCACAGCACUUAACCCUUAAUACAUUACAGCAAGUCUUCGGACAGAUUAAUUGGAUAUGUCCCUAUUUAGGCAUUCCUGCAAAUUCCUUGACUAAUCUUUUGUCACCCUGAAAGGUCACCCUGCUUUAAAUUUGCUGCGAGACCUCUCUCCACUAGCACAGGCAGACCUUAACACUGUGGAGCAAGCCUUGGCCCAAUGGUGCAUCUCGCGUUUAGAUCCUGACAGACCUCUAGAUCUUUUUAAUACCUCUCAUAGCCCUACAAGGAUGCUUGGGCAAGUUGGAACAGAUGUGUCUCCUUUGGAGUGGCUUUACCUGCCUCAUAACCCCUCUAAACCCAUACAAAAGACCACAGAUUUAAUAGCUUCUCUUCUCAUAAAGGGAUGCCAUCCAAUUGUCAGGAUAUGAC